CCGCAGCCCUCUGGGUUGUGCAGUUACUAGGCAGCUCUCCCCUCGAACAGCAGGAAACAUGAAAAUAUUGCUCCUUUUAAUUUUCGUUGUAGCCGCUUUGGAAGUCCCAGGUGUUCGGUCCCAGGCGCUGGUGGAGUCCGGCGGGGAUGUGAAAAAGCCCGGAGACUCUCUCCGCCUCUCCUGCAAAGGUUCCGGGUUCACCUUCAGCAGCUACGGCAUGAGCUGGGUCCGCCAGGCUCCCGGGAAGGGGCUGGAGUGGGUCGCCUACAUUUACAGCACCAGCAUAUACUACAGUGACUCGGUAAAAGGGCGAUUCACCAUCUCCAGAGACAAACUCAACAGCCUGUUGUACCUGGACAUGACCGGCCUGAAGCCCGAGGACACCGCCCGGUAUCUCUCGCCGGUGUCACGCCUGGGUCUCUUGAAGGGAGGCUCCGGGGUUGUGCAGCCGCGAUCGGAGGCGGAGCGAGAGCCUCCAAAGGGGACAGUUAUCUCCUGA